AAGUCGUAACAAGGUUUCCGUAGGUGAACCUGCGGAAGGAUCAUUAAUAACGUAUCCACGUUUUUACUAAUUUAACCUUAUCAAACCAACCCGUGAACGUUUUUUUGCCUUGUGCAAAAAAAUCUUUUAUUUACACCAUUACUCUAUUUUUUUACGCCUUGUAAAUUAACAAUUGUCUGAAACAACGAAGAUUGAAGGAGCGUAGUUCUUAAACGAACUGCUGUUUUGAAAAUCUUUGCUUAUUUGCAAAAACUUAAAAAACAACUCUUAGCAACGGAUAUCUUGGUUCUC
rnacentral:misc_RNA from 1 species